GAAAAUGUAAACAGGAAGUUGGUCUGCAAGGGGUGGUGCAUUUUGGGCUGGCAAGAUUAUCGCGUUAACGUUGUUCUAAUCUAGAUUAUUGUAUUUAGCUACCUAUAUUUAUAGUGUGCUACCAAUUACAAAGUUAACAACUUUACCUAGUAAAACAGCAAAUUACGAAUAUGUCAAUGCCAACCAGCUCAGGGGGUGAAAUGUCAAAUUCGCAGUUAGUUCAACAGUUGGCUUUUCUUGGUUGGCUCCGUUCUGACGAUGAAAAGGAUAAGGGGAUAUUGACAGCUGUCACAGGUAUUCAGGUGGCACGAGAGCUCAUGAACCGGAUUACUGGACAAGGGAAAGUGGAUGCCUAUAAGGGAGAAUGUAUCAAGAGCAUUGUUGACUUUUUGCAGAAGAAUCCAAAUGCCUCACAGCAAGAAAUAAACACAGAAGUUGAAAAGCAUGUGCUGAUAUUUGCUGCUCGAGUACAAGCUUUUGAAUCUUCCCCACUCCUCUGAGACUGUGUCUUUGCAGUCUGUCUCUUCCUGUCUGUGUUGAGUAUAUUUCUGGUUUUGUUGUCAUUAUAUUUUUGUGUGUAUAUGUCUACAGUGCCUUCUGUAAAUGUCAACACUGUCUCUUGGCCACGAAGAGACCAACUGGAUUACAUUAUCCCAUCACAUUUCCACUGUAUGUUUUCAUUGAAAAUAAUCAUGCUUUUAAAUAUAUGUCCAGUUUAUUCAUCCUUAUAAUUCCAUGCCACAUAGGUUGGCAGUUGUAUCAUAAUAACCAUGUCACUGUGUGUUGACUCUUAUUAUUCUUUAAUUAUAUGUCGAAUAAAAAAUGCUUAAAUGAAAAGGUUUAAAAUAAAAAAUGCAGAAUAUAACAAAACUCUCUUCUUCAUAUUCAUCAUAUAUAGGUGAUACUAAAAUCAACAAUGUUUUUUAUCAUUAAAAUAUAGCAUGUCAGAUACACUUAAUGAUAGGAAAAACAUGAAUCACGCAGAUAUCGUCCGAGGAUAUGUUCCAGGUGUUAUUAAAGCAAGUGUCAUCACGUUUACA